rnacentral:rRNA from 1 species
UACGAAGGGGGCUAGCGUUGUUCGGAAUCACUGGGCGUAAAGCGCACGUAGGCGGACUUUUAAGUCAGAGGUGAAAUCCCAAGGCUCAACCUUGGAACUGCCUUUGACUACUGGGAGUCUUGAGGUCGAGAGAGGUGAGUGGAACUGCGAGUGUAGAGGUGAAAUUCGUAGAUAUUCGCAAGAACACCAGUGGCGAAGGUGGCUCACUGGCUCGAUUCUGACGCUGAGGUGACGAA